ACGUAGGGGGCAAGCGUUAUCCGGAUUUACUGGGUGUAAAGGGAGCGCAGACGGCACUGCAAGUCUGGAGUGAAAGCCCGGGGCUCAACCCCGGGACUGCUUUGGAAACUGUAGAGCUAGAGUGCUGGAGAGGCAAGCGGAAUUCCUAGUGUAGCGGUGAAAUGCGUAGAUAUUAGGAAGAACACCAGUGGCGAAGGCGGCUUGCUGGACAGUAACUGACGUUCAGGCUCGAAAGCGUGGGGAGCAAACAG
rnacentral:rRNA from 1 species